GACGAACGCUGGCGGCGUGCUUAACACAUGCAAGUCGAACGGAAAGGCCCUGCUUUUGUGGGGUGCUCGAGUGGCGAACGGGUGAGUAACACGUGAGUAACCUGCCCUUGACUUUGGGAUAACUUCAGGAAACUGGGGCUAAUACCGGAUAGGAGCUCCUGCUGCAUGGUGGGGGUGGGAAAGUUUCGGCGGUUGGGGAUGGACUCGCGGCUUAUCAGCUUGUUGGUGGGGUAGUGGCUUACCAAGGCUUUGACGGGUAGCCGGCCUGAGAGGGUGACCGGCCACAUUGGGACUGAGAUACGGCCCAGACUCCUACGGGAGGCAGCAGUGGGGAAUAUUGCACAAUGGGCGGAAGCCUGAUGCAGCAACGCCGCGUGCGGGAUGACGGCCUUCGGGUUGUAAACUGCUUUCGCCUGUGACGAAGCGUGAGUGACGGUAAUGGGUAAAGAAGCACCGGCUAACUACGUG
rnacentral:rRNA from 1 species